rnacentral:rRNA from 1 species
GUGCUAAUACAUGCAGUCGAACGAACUCUGGUAUUGAUUGGUGCUUGCAUCAUGAUUUACAUUUGAGUGAGUGGCGAACUGGUGAGUAACACGUGGGAAACCUGCCCAGAAGCGGGGGAUAACACCUGGAAACAGAUGCUAAUACCGCAUAACAACUUGGACCGCAUGGUCCGAGCUUGAAAGAUGGCUUCGGCUAUCACUUUUGGAUGGUCCCGCGGCGUAUUAGCUAGAUGGUGGGGUAACGGCUCACCAUGGCAAUGAUACGUAGCCGACCUGAGAGGGUAAUCGGCCACAUUGGGACUGAGACACGGCCCAAACUCCUACGGGAGGCAGCAGUAGGGAAUCUUCCACAAUGGACGAAAGUCUGAUGGAGCAACGCCGCGUGAGUGAAGAAGGGUUUCGGCUCGUAAAACUCUGUUGUUAAAGAAGAACAUAUCUGAGAGUAACUGUUCAGGUAUUGACGGUAUUUAACCAGAAAGCCACGGCUAACUACGUGCCAGCAGCCGCGGUAAUACGUAGGUGGCAAGCGUUGUCCGGAUUUAUUGGGCGUAAAGCGAGCGCAGGCGGUUUUUUAAGUCUGAUGUGAAAGCCUUCGGCUCAACCGAAGAAGUGCAUCGGAAACUGGGAAACUUGAGUGCAGAAGAGGAAG